rnacentral:rRNA from 1 species
GCUGGCCGAGCAAGUUCGUCGGGAAAUCCACCCGCUUAACGGGUGGGCGUCCGGCGAAAACUGUUCGGCUUGGGACAGGAAGGCUCGAGGGGUACGUUCGGGGUAGGAGUGAAAUCCCGUAAUCCUGAACGGACCACCGAUGGCGAAAGCACCUCGAGAGGACUGAUCCGACAGUGAGGGACGAAAGCUGGGGUCUCGAACCGGAUUAGAUACCCGGGUAGUCCCAGCCGUAAACGAUGUUCGCUAGGUGUGACACUCACUACGAGUGAGUGUUGUGCCGCAGGGAAGCCGCUAAGCGAACCGCCUGGGAAGUACGUCCGCAAGGAUGAAACUUAAAGGAAUUGGCGGGGGAGCACUACAACCGGAGGAGCCUGCGGUUUAAUUGGACUCAACGCCGGUAACCUUACCAGCCCCGACUACGGUGAUGACGGUCAGGUUGAUGACCUCACCACGAUGCCGUAGAGAGGUGGUGCAUGGCCGCCGUCAGCUCGUACCGUGAGGCGUCCUGUUAAGUCAGGCAACGAGCGAGACCCGCACUCUUAAUUGCCAGCAUGUCCCUUGAGGAUGAUGGGUACAUUAGGAGGACUGCCGCCGCCAAGGCGGAGGAAGGAACGGGCAACGGUAGGUCAGUAUGCCCCGAAUGGGCUGGGCAACACGCGGGCUACAAUGGCCGAGACAAUGGGUUCCAACCCCGAGAGGGAGCGGUAAUCUCAGAAACUCGGUCGUAGUUCGGAUUGCGGACUGCAACUCGUCCGCAUGAAGCUGGAUUCGGUAGUAAUCGCAUUCCAGGAGAGUGCGGU